rnacentral:rRNA from 1 species
GAUGAACGCUGGCGGCGUGCCUAAUACAUGCAAGUCGAGCGAACAGACGAGGAGCUUGCUCCUCUGACGUUAGCGGCGGACGGGUGAGUAACACGUGGAUAACCUACCUAUAAGACUGGGAUAACUUCGGGAAACCGGAGCUAAUACCGGAUAAUAUAUUGAACCGCAUGGUUCAAUAGUGAAAGACGGUUUUGCUGUCACUUAUAGAUGGAUCCGCGCCGCAUUAGCUAGUUGGUAAGGUAACGGCUUACCAAGGCAACGAUGCGUAGCCGACCUGAGAGGGUGAUCGGCCUCUCUGGAACUGAGACACGAUCCUGACUCCUACGGGAGGAUGCAGUAGGGAAUCGUCCUCAAUGGGCGAAAGCCUGACGGAGCAGCGCCGCGUGAUUGAUGAAGUUCUUCGGAUCGUAAAACUCUGUUAUUAGGGACGAACAAAUCUGUAAGUAACUAUGCACGUCUUGACGGUACCUAUUCAAAAAGCCACGGCUAACUACGUG